rnacentral:lncRNA from 1 species
ACCAACUCAGCCAAUGUGUCAGUUGACCAAACUAUCUGAGCGAGCCAGGGAAGAUCAGCAAAAGAACCACCCGGCUGAACCCAGCCCAAACUGCAGGCCCUCAGAAUGGGAAGUGGUGCUUCAUUCUCUUUCUUCAGUGUGAGCCAAGGACCAGCUGCUGGAACUGAUGACAUGAAGGCAAGGUGCCGCUCCAUUAGGCUCUGUUUCUUACCUGCUGCAGAUCAAACUCAUAGAGAAAUGAUAGGAACAGCCCAAGAACAUAAAGAA